UGGCUAACUCCUACGGGAGGCAGCAGUGGGGAAUCUUCCACAAUGGACGCAAGUCUGAUGGAGCAACGCCGCGUGAGUGAAGAAGGUUUUCGGAUCGUAAAGCUCUGUUGUUGGUGAAGAAGGAUAGAGGCAGUAACUGGUCUUUAUUUGACGGUAAUCAACCAGAAAGUCACGGCUAACUACGUGCCAGCAGCCGCGGUAAUACGUAGGUGGCAAGCGUUGUCCGGAUUUAUUGGGCGUAAAGCGAGCGCAGGCGGAAUGAUAAGUCUGAUGUGAAAGCCCACGGCUCAACCGUGGAACUGCAUCGGAAACUGUCAUUCUUGAGUGCAGAAGAGGAGAGUGGAACUCCACGUGUAGCGGUGGAAUGUGUAGAUAUAUGGAAGAACACCAGUGGCGAAGGCGGCUCUCUGGUCUGCAGCUGACGCUGAGGCUCGAAAGCAUGGGUAGCGAACAGGAUUAGAAACCCUGGUAGUCCAGCUGG
rnacentral:rRNA from 1 species